rnacentral:tRNA from 1 species
GGGAAGAUAACGAUUGGCCGUUUACCUGCUUUGGAUGCAGGAGGUUGCAGGUUCGAGUCCUGUUUCCCA